GGAUCCACUCCUUUCU
rnacentral:rRNA from 1 species